GUUGAACGCUGGCGGCAGGCCUAACACAUGCAAGUCGAGCGGAUGAGGGGAGCUUGCUCCCUGAUUUAGCGGCGGACGGGUGAGUAAUGCCUAGGAAUCUGCCUGGUAGUGGGGGAUAACGUUCCGAAAGGAACGCUAAUACCGCAUACGUCCUACGGGAGAAAGCUGGGGACCUUCGGGCCUUGCGCUAUCAGAUGAGGCUAGGUCGGAUUAGCUAGUUGGUGAGGUAAUGGCUCACCAAGGCGACGAUCCGUAACUGGUCUGAGAGGAUGAUCAGUCACACUGGAACUGAGACACGGUCCAGACUCCUACGGGAGGCAGCAGUGGGGAAUAUUGGACAAUGGGCGAAAGCCUGAUCCAGCCAUGCCGCGUGUGUGAAGAAGGUCUUCGGAUUGUAAAGCACUUUUAGUUGGGAGGAAGGGCUGCUGGUUAAUACCCUGCAGUUUUGACGUUACCAACAGAAUAAGCACCGGCUAACUUCGUG
rnacentral:rRNA from 1 species